rnacentral:rRNA from 1 species
GGCCAAGCUACAAGGGUAUAUGGUGAAUGCCUUGGUGCCAGAAGCUGAUGAAGGACGUGGCAAGCUGCGAUAAGCCCCGGGUAGGAGCAAACAUCUUUUGAUCCGGGGAUUUCCGAAUCGGGAAACCGUGCCUGCUUCAAAGCAGGCAAUCUCUGGGGCAAAGUGGCCGCCGUCAGGCGGCUAGAUAGCCUCAGUGAAGACAACCCAGGGAAGUGAAACAUCUCAGUACCUGGAGGAAAAGAAAUCAAAGAGAUUCCCCCAGUAGUGGCGAGCGAAAAGGGAACAGCCUAAACCGUUCCGACUUGUCGGGACGGGGUUGAAGGGCUCGUCUGGUUCAAAGCCGAAGGAGUUAUAAACCGUUAGUUAGACGAACUGUCCUGGAAAGGCAGACUAUAAAGGGUGACAGUCCCGUAGGUUAAAACGAAGCGGCUCCUGACGAGUUCCUGAGUACUGCCGGACACGUGAAAUCCGGCAGGAAUCCGGGGAGACCACUCUCCAAGGCUAAAUACUCUCUGGCAACCGAUAGUGAACGAGUACCGCGAGGGAAAGGCGAAAAGAACCCCGGUAGGGGAGUGAAAUAGAACCUGAAACCGUAUACCUACAAGCUGUGGGAGGCCUAUGGGUGAACCCGCAAGGGUGAACCAAUGGCUGACCGCGUGCCUGUUGAAGAAUGAUCCAGCGAGUUACUUGGAACGAGCAAGGAUAAGUCCUGAAGUUGACAGCUUCAGACGCAUCCGCAGGGAAACCGAGUCCGAACAGGGCGAUUAGUUCGUUUCAGUAGACUCGAAGCCAAGUGAUCUAACCCUGGCCAGGGUGAAGUCACCUUAACCGGUGAUCGAGGCCCGAAGUGUCUAACGUUGAAAAGUUAUUACAUGAGCUGGGGUUAGGGGUGAAAGGCUAAUCGAACGUGCAAGAGGGGAACAACCCAGACCGCCGAUCUAGGUCCCAAAGUGUGUGCUAAGUGGCAAAGGAUGUGGAUCUCCUUAAACAGCUAGGAGGUUGGCUUAGAAGCAGCCAUCCUUUAAAGAGUGCGUAACAGCUCACUAGUCUAGUUGGUCCGCGCCGAAAAUGACUCGGGGCUCAAGCACACCACCGCAGUCGCGGAUUCAACGGCAGUGAUUAGUGGCGAGUGAAUAGUGGCGAGUGAAUAAUUAUGAGGAAAAUACCUUCACUAAACACUAAUCACUAACCACUGUCGUUGAGUGGUAGGGGAGCGUUCUUAACGCGGCGAAGGCGUAUCGAAAGGAGCGCUGGAGCGUUAAGAAGUGAGGAUGCUGGAAUAAGUAGCGAUAAACAAGGUGAGAAUCCUUGUCGCCGUAAGUCUAAGGUUUCCUUGAGCAACGUUCGUCGACUCAGGGUUAGUCGGGCCUAAGCCGAGGCCGAAAGGCGUAGGUGAAGGACAUCCGGUUAAUAUUCCGGAACUGCGGCAGGCGCGUCAUUACUCAAGGGGUGGUGCAGAAGGGUAAAUCAUCCGGGUGAAGGUCGUCCCGGUCUAAAGUCGUAGGCGUGGUCCGGCAGGCAAAUCCACCGGGCUGUUAAGCUGAAAGCUGAAUGCGACUCCGUUGAAAGGCGGGGGAAGUGAUCCAACCAUGCUGCCGAGAAAAACCCCGUGGGGAGUUCCUGCUGUAACCGUACCGCAAACCGACACAGGUAGACGGGCAUGAAAGUGCUAAGGCGCGCGAGAUAACCUUCGUUAAGGAACUAGGCAAAAUAGCCCCGUAACUUCGGAAGAAGGGGCGCCCCGGUAGAGGUGUGGGAUUUAAAGACCACGCGUUGAAAGGGCCGCAGUGAAAUGGGGAUCGUGACUGUUUAACAAAAACUUAGCUCUCUGCUGAAAUCACAAGAUGAUGUAUAGGGAGUGAUGCCUGCCCGGUGCUGGAAGGUCAAGGGGAGGCGUUAGCCGCAAGGUGAAGCGCUGAACUUAAGCCCCAGUAAACGGCGGCGGUAACUAUAACCGUCCUAAGGUUAGGAAAAGCUAGCCUUAGUAAAACUGAACUAUAUGCGGGAAAGUCCUCAAAAACCGUUAGGUACUAAUUCCGCGAUUUUGCGGGACAGUAAAAAUCCGACGGACAAGGGGACAAUCCGCAGGGAAGGAUCCAUGAAUAACGAAAUGGAUAACCCUCAGAGACUUCACGUUCAGUCUUGUUCCUCGAGGUUAAAUGCUCAAUGGGUGGUGGGUUUUACCGACGGAGAAGGAUGUUUUUAUGUCGGUUUAAAUCCGCAUCCGGAAAUGACGACUGGUUUUCAGGUUUUGCCUGAAUUCACUAUUGUUCAGCACAAAAGAGAUGUCAAGCUUCUCUAUGCUAUAAAAGAAUUCUUUGGCUGUGGGGUUGUAAGAACAAACCAUGGCGAUAGAAUGUGUUAUAGAGUAAGAGAUACAAAACAUCUUGCCGAAAUAAUAGCGCCAUUCUUUUUUGAACAUCCUCUGAAAUCAAUUAAAAAUGUUGAUUUCAUAAGGUUCAGAAGAGUGGUUGAAUUAAUGAAGAAAGGCGAACAUUUGAAACCAGAAGGCAUAGAAAAAAUAAGAGCAAUAACCUCAUUAAUGAAUAGAGGAAGAGAAAGAUAAAGUCCGGCUUCUCUGGAAAACAGAGCAAGAUAAUCCGAGCGAAAUUCCUUGUCGGGUAAGUUCCGACCUGCACGAAUGGCAUAACAAAGAUCCCGCUGUCUCAACGAAGGGCUCGGCGAAAUUGUGGUGCCAGUGAAGACGCUGGCUGCGCGUAGCAAGACGAAAAGACCCCGUGAAGCUUUACUGUAUCUUGUCAUUGAAUCACGGUUUUGAAUGCGUAGAAUAGGUGGGAGGCUGUGAACGGCGCCUUUCGGGGUGUCGGGAGCCAACAGUGAAAUACCACUCUUUUAAGACUGUGAUUCUAACCUCAUGCCGUCAUCCGGCUGAGGGAAAGUGGCAGGUGGGCAGUUUGACUGGGGCGGUCGCCUCCCAAAAGAUAACGGAGGCGUCCCAAGGUUCCCUCAAGGCGAAUAGUAACCGCCUGACGAGCGCAAGGGUAGAAGGGAGCUUGACUGUGAGGCCGACGGGCCGAGCAGGGACGAAAGUCGGGCCUAGUGAUCCGGUGGUUCCGCGUGGAAGGGCCAUCGCUCAACGGAUAAAAGCUACUCCGGGGAUAACAGGCUGAUCGGGUCCAAGAGUCCAUAUCGACGACCCGGUUUGGCACCUCGAUGUCGGCUCAUCGCAUCCUCCCGCUGAAGCAGGUGGGAAGGGUUGGGCUGUUCGCCCAUUAAAGCGGUACGUGAGCUGGGUUCAGUACGUCAAAAUGGCGUCUUCCCGCAGUAAUGCGGGAAUGUCCGCUGACUCAUAUCGGUGGAACCCCGACGUUACGUCGGGGCAAUACCGAGGGAAGGUCGUAUGAAAGAAGUUCUGCGAGCUUAUAUAGCAGGGUUUCUGGAUGGAGAUGGAAGUAUCUAUUUUCAGUUAAUUCCAAGACCGCAAAAUGUCUAUGGAUAUGAAAUUAGAGCUUCCGUGUGUUUUUAUCAACGCACAUCUAAUCGGAGAAUCCUGGAAUGGCUCAAAGAAAAUAUCGGUCUUGGCUAUAUCCGCAACCGUGGCGAUGGAGUAAGCGAUUACGCCAUCGUUGGUUAUGAAGAAGUCCGCAGAGUAUUGGAAAUGGUUUCUCCGUAUGUGGUGUUGAAAAAACAGCAGACGGAGCAGGCGUUUAAGAUGCUGAGUGGACUUGAAAAGCGGAAAAGACUUGGGCCGGUAGAAUUCAUAAACAUGGCAAAACAUGUAGAUGGAUUCGCAGCCCUAAACUACUCCAAGAAAAAAAAGCAUAAUGCGGAAAGUGUCCGCAGGAUUAUGGAGAGCAAGGGAUAUGCGACCCCUGUAACGACUGAGGCUGAAAAGCCAAGGUGACGGUUGCAACACAAAAAUUAAAUAAAUAUAUAACCGUCACAACACGUCAGCCCCUUGAAAAAGGGUGAAGGUAUAGUCUACACCACCAGUAAUGGUGGAUAAUGUGCGUGAGACAGUACGGUCUCUAUCUGCUAUGCGCGCAGGAAACUUGAGGGGAGCUGACCACAGUACGAGAGGACCUGGUUGGACGAACCUCCCGUGUGCCAGUUGUCCUGCCAAGGGCAUAAGCUGGGUAGCGGUGUUCGGUAGGGAUAAGCGCUGAAAGCAUCUAAGCGCGAAACCCGCCCCAAGAUAAGGUUUCCCUCUCCGACGUAACGUCGGAGCUGAAGGCCCCCGGAAGACUACCGGGUUGAUAGGCCGGGUGUGUAAGAUCCGUAAGGAUUUGAGCUAACCGGUACUAAUCGGCCGUGAGGCUUGGCCUUAUU